GAUGAACGCUCGCGGGAGGCCUAACACAUGCAAGCCGAGCGGUAUUGUUUCUUCGGACAUGAGAGAGCGGCGUACGGGUGCGUAACACGUGUGCAACCUGCCUUUAUCUGGGGGAUAGCCUUUCGAAAGGAAGAUUAAUACUCCAUAAUAUAUUGAACGGCAUCGUUUAAUAUUGAAAGCUCCGGCGGAUAGAGAUGGGCACGCGCAAGAUUAGCUAGUUGGUGAGGUAACGGCUCACCAAGGCGAUGAUCUUUAGGGGGCCUGAGAGGGUGAUCCCCCACACUGGUACUGAGACACGGACCAGACUCCUACGGGAGGCAGCAGUGAGGAAUAUUGGUCAAUGGGUGCAAGCCUGAACCAGCCAUCCCGUGUGAAGGACGACUGCCCUAUGGGUUGUAAACUUCUUUUGUAUAGGGAUAAACCUACCCUCGAGAGGGUAGCUGAAGGUACUAUACGAAUAAGCACCGGCUAACUCCGUG
rnacentral:rRNA from 1 species